rnacentral:rRNA from 1 species
CUUGGUGGCGACCGGCGCGACGGGUGAGUAACGCGUAUGCAACCUACCUAUCAGAGGGGAAUAACCCGGCGAAAGUCGGACUAAUACCGCAUAAAACAGGGACACCGCAUGGUGAUAUUUGUUAAAGAAAUUCGCUGAUAGAUGGGCAUGCGUUCCAUUAGGUAGUUGGUGAGGUAACGGCUCACCAAGCCGACGAUGGAUAGGGGAACUGAGAGGUUGGUCCCCCACACUGGUACUGAGACACGGACCAGACUCCUACGGGAGGCAGCAGUGAGGAAUAUUGGUCAAUGGGCGAGAGCCUGAACCAGCCAAGUCGCGUGAAGGAAGAAGGAUCUAUGGUUCGUAAACUUCUUUUGCAGGGGAAUAAAGUGCAGGACGUGUCCUGUUUUGUAUGUACCCUGAGAAUAAGGAUCGGCUAACUCCGUGCCAGCCGCCGC